rnacentral:rRNA from 1 species
UACAGGGGGUGCAAACGUUGCUCGGAAUCAUUGGGCGUAAAGCGCACGUAGGCGGUCCAGCAAGCGGGGAGUGAAAGCCCUCGGCUUAACCGAGGAAGUGCUUUCCGAACUACUGGACUUGAGUACUGAAGAGGGUCGCGGAAUUCCCGGUGUAGAGGUGAAAUUCGUAGAUAUCGGGAGGAACACCAGUGGCGAAGGCGGCGACCUGGGCAGAUACUGACGCUGAGGUGCGAAAGCGUGGGGAGCAAACAGG